rnacentral:lncRNA from 1 species
AUAAACUGAGAAGUAAAAGUUAUUUAUUUCAAAUGUUUUUUUCAUUUUAGAAUUUUAAAUUAAAAUGACUUCCUGAAUUUACUGCAUUCAAUUCAAAUUGAACCCCUCUAGUCAACAGUAAGAUGAUGAAUCAGGUCUGGAACAAAAGCUUGCACACCCAGUAGGCCUAUAGCUUUCCGUGACCAGUUGAAUAGAUAGAAUCAUAGAGAAUAUAGAAAUUGAGCUGAUGCGUUAGGCUACAGCUUAGCUACAGAUUGUUACACCGUAUAAUGUCAUUUAACCAAAGAUGUUUGGUAUUUAUUACCGGGAGUUAUAGGUUAGGCACUGGUUGCACAGAGAAUUUUAGACCAACCUUAACUUGCUGAUAUCUUUGUUCUCGAUUCAGUCAAACAUGUAUCCUUCAAAAUAUCUGUGUCCAGUUGCAUGUGGUAUGUUUGAAUUUAGAAAAUGCUCCAUGAAUUAAUCCAACAAUGUGUACACCUCCAUCUUGUCUAUUUCAAAUCUUCUCUCAUUGAUUAAGACAGGUGUCCACCCCAAAGUGCCGCAGAUCGAGACACUCACCUGUCUCGAUCAAUGAGAGAAGAUUUGAAAGAUGGCGUGUACACAUUGUUGGAUUACUUCAUUACUUCAAAUUCAAACGCACCACCUGUAACUGGACACAGACAUUUUAGAAGAUACAUGUUUGGAAGAAAUUGUUAAGGUUGGUUGAAAAGUCUCUGUGCUAGACCAAACAAAAGACGACGUUCCUUCGGUCUGGAGCAUCAUGCCUGCUGACCUGUGGCGAAGAAUCAUUCGGAUGAGGCCUCCUGAGGAUGUCCUAGAUGAGGAUACGUCUCCAUCAUCAUCGUGUGAAUCCCCUGGGACCAACAAGGCACAUGGUGGUCAGCAGGGACAAGAGCCCAACACUCCAAAUGUCCCUCCAUGAGUGGCACUCAUCAGGUAGAAGAAAAAGAGGAAGAAGAGCCAUUGGUCAUUGAUGGCUUCAAGUUUGACCUACGCAUCUACGUGCUGGUGAUGUCUUCGACCCCUUCCGUAUCUUCCUGUAUAAGGAGCGGCUGGCCCGCUUCUGCACCAGCCGCUACAACUCCACCCGCAACAAUGUGGUGUGGCACGGCACAAUGGGCACAACCACAGAAGGGGGAAUGAGCGGGCAACAUGUUUAACAUUGAAAUAAACAUGAGAUGUACACAAUGUCAUUGGUCUUUCGUGUUCAUACUGUGUAGUUUUGUUAGGGACCAUAGACAUGGUAACAUUUGUUUUCUGUCGGUAUUGACAUGUUGCAUAUCGUCCGUCUGUUGUAAGCGUGUUCAAGGGGACAGGGACAGACAGGAACACAAUCAAACACAGACACGCAG